UUUUAAUUGACGAUUUGGGAUCUGGCAGUGAUCGUCUGCAUUAGGUUCAGAACCGCGCGUUUAUAUUGCCAAUUCCAGCGGGAAAUCGUGGAGCUUCGGCCUCCUGUUUCUAAGAUCGAAAGAACAGAAGCUCCCAAUGCUAAAGUUGAAGCCAAGCCGUAGACCAGACCUUGAGACAACUUGAGGCAGGGGGAAAAUAAUGAGAAAAAUCUACUCAACAGAAAUGGUGAAAGCCUAAGACCCAGCCUUGUAUGUGUGUGCUGCUGAUUCAUUUUGCAGAGAUCACGUGGUGUGAUUCCACUCUCAAACCUACAACUACACCCUGGCUUCAUUCCCCCCAAUUGCUUGUCUCCAUUCCUGAUCCACUCUCUCAAAUGCUGCUGGUUUUCCGAUCAAACAAGUUCUUCGCCGCUCUGUGUUUUGAUCAUAUAAAGAGGUUGCUAGAGAUAGAAAGAGAGUCCAAAUGUUUUAACUCUGAAGUUUUAAUCCAGGUUCCUCAAGCCUUAAGCUUCUUAUAUUAUACUUUCUUUUUGGGAUUUUAAGAAGUUAUGCAUUAGGAAGCAAGAUUAUUAUUAUCCUUUUCAUUGCUUACAGAAGAAAAAAUCUUUUUGUUGAUUCAAACUUCUUUCUUUUAAAGUGAAGUGCUGAAAAGAAGAGUAAAAAGUAAAUGCUGUCUGAUUAAAGAAGUAAAUGCCUCUUUUUGACUCUUAUUUAGGUAUCUAACUUUUAAUGGCAUUGUUUGAUCCCCACACGCAUACAUAAAGCCUUUGCUUUCUUUAAAAAAAAAUGAAAUGAUUAACCCACAAAUCAUGCAUUGUUGAGUGCGAGCCACAUCGAUGGUCCAAAAAUUAAAAAGUUAUCUGGUUUAUGUGUUUUUUUUAUCUGAAAGAAAGCAAAGACUUGACUUGCCAAACGAUGAACGGUUUGAAGCUUUUUAUAGCUUUGUCUCUUGAUAUCAUAUAAAUCUCCGAAGCCUUUUAGGAGAUUGAUCAAAGAAGACUAUUCUCCAUUGGAUACAUGUAAUUUCAACGACGACCCCAGCCAGGUAAAUCAUCAUAAAAUUAUGUGUUUUUGGCACUGAUUUGAUUUGUGGUUGGAAUCCAUGGAUGAACAUGAAGCAUGCAGUUUGAAUUUGAAAAACGGCAUUUUGGUUCA